UACGUAGGGUGCGAGCGUUAAUCGGAAUUACUGGGCGUAAAGCGUGCGCAGGCGGUUCUGAAAGUCAGCUGUGAAAGCCCCGGGCUUAACCUGGGAAUUGCGGUUGAAACUACAGGGCUAGAAUCUGGCAGAGGGGGGUGGAAUUCCACGUGUAGCAGUGAAAUGCGUAGAGAUGUGGAGGAACACCGAUGGCGAAGGCGGCGACCUGGGUCGAGACUGACGCUGAGGCGCGAAAGCGUGGGGAGCAAACAGG
rnacentral:rRNA from 1 species